UGGAAACACCGCAACCCUCCCCCCCCGUCCUUCCUUUCUCUCCUCCCUCCUCUUCUUCCCCCGUUAACCUCACGCAGGGCCCCAUCCUGUCGCGGCUUCUGAGGCGGAGGAGUCGUUGGAAGCGCGUGUCCUGCAUACGCGGAUCUGAAAGGGGAGAGGAGUAACUCACCCCCUCGCCUACAUAACUCCCCUCGCUACAAAGCCCCUCAAGGUGUGGGAGAGGAAGGGAUGCGCAAAGGAAUCAAACGCAGCCGCCGUGUGCUGGGCGAGGCGAGGGCAGGUUCGGUCGGGCAGCCUUCUUACUUAGGCAAGGGGGAAAAAAACCCCUCUCAUACUAAGUCUGUUCAACUUGGCAGAGGCAACUUCAGAGAAAUCGUGUACAAACGGUACCUUGCUGGGAAGCACACCAAGACUUUGCAAGUGCUGAAGCUGGACGAAUGACUCCGAGGCCAGUCAGAACCAUUAUGUAAAUACUGAACAGAUGUGGGAGGAAAAAGUAUAAUAUUUAAACCCUGAAACAGAUUAUGUAGAUACUGAUUUCCAUACUUUGCAUUUGGCAGAUCUUAUGCCUGUGUAUAAAUUAUUUUCUGCCCCAAAGUGUAAUUUAUUCAGUCAUGUCCUGAUUGUGACUCUUUUAUUAAGGGUAAAUUUUGUUACAAUUUAGUGCACCUAGAGAGUUGAAAUGUACUGCUGCGCUUGGUGUGAAGCCUGACACCAUACAUGCUGCCAUAACACUUAUAGUGCCUCAUUUGGAAGCUAAUCUCUGGUGCAGCUCCAGAAGUAUUGACCCAACUGAUUCAUCCUUAGGCUUUCUCAAAAUGAUAACUCAGGUUAGCCAUGCUGGAAGUAUGGCAUCUGGCAUUAUAGAACUUCAAUCUACUUUGAUCUACAGUAGCUCUCCCCGGUGUUCAGUCCAUCAAAAUAAUGCAUUAAGCUGAGCAGACCUCCUGAAGAUAGGCAUG